rnacentral:rRNA from 1 species
GACGAACGCUGUUGGCGUGCCUAACACAUGCAAGUCGAGCGAAGUGAGUACUACGGUACGAACUUAGCGGCGGACGGGUGAGUAACGCGUGGACAAUCUACCCUGUAGACUGGGAUAACACCUCGAAAGGGGUGCUAAUACCGGAUAGUGUCGAGAAGCGGCAUCGCUUUUCGAAGAAAGGAGAGAAUCCGCUAUAGGAGGAGUCCGCGUCCCAUUAGCUAGUUGGUGAGGGUAACGGCCCACCAAGGCGACGAUGGGUAGCCGGCCUGAGGGGGUGAUCGGCCACACUGUAGCUUAGACACUGUCCAGACUCCUACGGGAGGCAGCAGUGGGGAAUAUUGUGCAAUGGGGGAAACCCUGACACAGCAACGCCGCGUGAGCGAAGAAGGCCUUCGGGUUGUAAAGCUCAAUAGUAUGGGAAGAUAAGGGCGGUACCAUACGAAAGCCCCGGCUAACAACGUGCCAGCCGCCGCAGUAACAC